GCCGGGCACCAUGGCAUGUGCCUGUGGUCACAGCUACUGGGGAUACUGAGGCCGGAGGACUGCUAGAGCCCAGGAGUUCUGAGCUGCAAUGCACUGUGUCUAUUGGGUGUCCGCACUAAGUUCGGCAUCAGUAUGGUGACCUCCUGGGAGCAGGGGACCACCAGGUUGCCUAAGGAGAGGUGAACUGGUCCAGGUUGGAAAUGGAGCAGGUCAAAACUCCCAUGCUGAUCAGCAGUGGGAUCACGCCUGUGAAUAGCCACUGCACUCCAGCCUGGGCAACACAGUGAGACACUGCCU
rnacentral:SRP_RNA from 10 species